GUCUCCUUGGGGACAUUUGAUAAAAUUGGAAUGAUAUAGAGAAGUUUAAUAUGGCCCCUGUGUAAGGAUGACACACACACACACAAAUUUGGAAAGGAAGAUAAAUAUAU
rnacentral:snRNA from 1 species